ACGCCUAUAAUACCAGCACUUUGGAAGGCCGAGGUGGGCGGAUCACCUGAGGUCAGGGGUUUGAGACCAGCCUGUCUCUACUAACAAUAUAAAAAUUACCUAGAAGUCGCAGUGGGCGCCUGUAAUCCCAGCUACUCGGGAGGCUGACGCAGGAGAAUUGCUUGAACCCAGGAGACGGAGGCUGCAGUGAGCCGAGAUCGCACCGCUGCACUCUACCCUCGGCGACACAGCAAGACUGCCUCAAAAACAACAACAAAAAGCAGGACGUGAGACUUCUACCUGCUCACUCAGAAUCAUUUCUGCACCAACCAUGGCCACCUUUGUGGAGCUCAGUACCAAAGCCAAGAUGCCCAUUGUGGGCCUGGGCACUUGGAAGUCUCCUCUCGGCAAAGUGAAAGAAGCGGUGAAGGUGGCCAUUGAUGCAGGGUAUCGCCACAUUGACUGUGCCUAUGUCUAUCAGAAUGAACAUGAGGUGGGGGAAGCCAUCCAAGAGAAGAUCCAAGAGCAGGCUGUGAAGCGGGAGGACCUGUUCAUCGUCAGCAAGUUGGGGCCCACUUUUUUUGAGAGACCGCUUGUGAGGAAAGCCUUUGAGAAGACCCUCAAGGACCUGAAGCUGAGCUAUCUGGACCUCUAUCUUAUUCACUGGCCACAGGGAUUCAAGUCUGGGGAUGACAUUUUCCCUGUAGUCCCUCUGGGGCUGCCCAAAAGGUCUUCCUUUCUAUGACAGGCCAUGGAGGAGCUGGUGGAUGAGGGGCUGGUGAAAGCCCUUGGCAUCUCCAAUUUCAACCACUUCCAGAUCGAGAAGCUCUUGAACAAACCUGGACUGAAAUAUAAACCAGUGACUAACCAGGUUGAGUGUCACCCGUACCUCACGCAGGAGAAACUGAUCCAGUACUGCCACUCCAAGGGCAUCACCGUUACAGCCUACAGCCCCCUGGGCUCUCCGGAUAGACCUUGGGCCAAGCCAGAGGACCCUUCCCUGCUGGAGGAUCCCAAGAUUAAGGAGAUUGCUGCAAAGCACAAAAAAACCGCAGCCCAGGUUCUGAUCCGUUUCCAUAUCCAAAGGAAUGUGAUUGUGAUCCCCAAGUCUGUGACACCGGCACGCAUUGUUGAGAACAUUCAGGUCUUUGACUUUAAAUUGAGUGAUGAGGAGAUGGCAACCAUCCUCACCUUCAACAGAAACUGGAGGGCCUGCAACAUGUUGCAAUCCUCUCAUUUGGAGGACUAUCCCUUUGAUGCAGAAUAUUGAGGUUGAAUCUCCUGGUGACAUUACACAGGGAAUUCUCUUUCUUCACUGAAGUGUGACUAUCUCCAUCAAGUCCUAUUUUAGCCAAGCUUAUCUGAGAUCACAGUGAACUUCAUCCUGUUGUAGA